UACGAAGGGGACUAGCGUUGUUCGGAUUUACUGGGCGUAAAGCGCGCGUAGGCGGAUCACUAAGUCAGGGGUGAAAUCCCGAGGCUUAACCUCGGAACUGCCUUUGAUACUGAUGAUCUGGAGAUUGGGAGAGGUUGGUGGAAUUCCGAGUGUAGAGGUGAAAUUCGUAGAUAUUCGGAGGAACACCAGAAGCGAAGGCGGCCAACUGGCCCAAUACUGACGCUGAGGCGCGAAAGCGUGGGGGAGCAAACAGG
rnacentral:rRNA from 1 species